rnacentral:tRNA from 1 species
GAGGGUAGAGCUCAGUGGUAGAGCGCAUGCCUAGCAUGCGUGAGGUCCUGGGUUCAAUCUCCAGCACCUCCA